rnacentral:rRNA from 1 species
AACGAACGCUGGCGGCAUGCCUAACACAUGCAAGUCGAACGAGACCAUCGGGUCUAGUGGCGCACGGGUGCGUAACGCGAGGGAACCUGCCCUUAGGUUCGGAAUAACUCUCCGAAAGGGGUGCCAAUACGGGACAAGGUCUUCGGACCAAAGAUUUAUCGCCUUUGUAUGGGCCCGCGUUGGAUUAGCUAGUUGGUAGGGUAAAAGCCUACCAAGGCGACGAUCCAUAGCUGGUCUUAGAGGAUGAUCAGCCACCCUAGGACUGAGAAACGGCCCAGACUCCUCCGGAUGGCAGCAGUCGUGAAUAUUCGACGCUGCGCGAAAGCCUGAUCCAGCAGUGCCGCGUGAGUCAUGAAGGCCUUAGGGUUGUAAAGCUCUUUUACCCGGGAUGAUAAUGACAGUCCCGGGAGAAUAAGCUCCGGCAACCUCCGU